GAUGAACGCUGGCGGCGUGCCUAAUACAUGCAAGUCGAGCGAACAGACGAGGAGCUUGCUCCCCUGACGUUAGCGGCGGACGGGCGAGUAACACGUGGAUCACCUUCCUAUAAGUCUGGGAUAACUUCGGGAGACCGGAGCUAAUACUGGAUAAUAUAUUGAACCGCAUGGAUCAAUAGUGAAAGACGGUUUUGCUGUCACUUAUAGAUGGUUCCGCGUCGCAUUAGUGAGUUGGUAAGGUAACGGCUAACCAAGGGAACGAUGCGUAGCCGACCUGAGAGGGUGAGCGGGCACACUGGGACUUGGACACGGGCCAGACUCCUACGGGGAGCAGCAGUAGGGAAUCUUCCGCAAUGGGCGGAAGGCUGAAGGAGCAACGCCGCGUUAGUGAUGAAGGGCUUCGGAUCGUAAAACUCUGUUAGUAGGGAAAAACAAAUGUGUAAGUAACUAUGCACGUCUUGACGGUACCUAAUCAGAAAGCCACGGCUAACUACGUG
rnacentral:rRNA from 1 species